rnacentral:miRNA from 1 species
UGGUACAAAAGUAAUUGCGGUUUUUGCCAUUAAAAGGAAUGGCAAAACCCGCAAUUACUUUUGCA